UACGGAGGGUGCAAGCGUUAUCCGGAUUCACUGGGUUUAAAGGGUGCGUAGGUGGGCAAGUAAGUCAGUGGUGAAAUCUCCGGGCUUAACCCGGAAACUGCCAUUGAUACUAUUUGUCUUGAAUACUGUGGAGGUCAGCGGAAUAUGUCAUGUAGCGGUGAAAUGCUUAGAUAUGAUAUAGAACACCAAUUGCGAAGGCAGCUGGCUACACAAAUAUUGACACUGAGGCACGAAAGCGUGGGGAUCAAACAGG
rnacentral:rRNA from 1 species